rnacentral:rRNA from 1 species
UACCCGCCUGGGAACUACGAGCGCUCAUGUAAAACCCAAAGGACUUGGCGGCACCUCAGACCCACCUAGAGGAGCCUGUUCUAGAACCGAUAAUCCCCGUUAAACCUCACCACUUCUUGUUAUCACAGCCUAUAUACCGCCGUCGUCAGCUUACCCUGUGAAGAUGCCUAGUAAGCAAAAAUGAGCAAGACUCAAAACCG